rnacentral:rRNA from 1 species
GAGCAACCUACCUUUCGGCGGGGGAUAGCCGGCCUAACGGCCGGGUAAUACCGCGUAUCGCGCCGGAGCUGCAUGGCUCUGGUGUGAAAGCGGCCGCAAGGUCGCGCCGGUCGAGGGGCUCGCGUCCUAUCAGCUUGUUGGUGGGGUAACGGCUCACCAAGGCUACGACGGGUAGCUGGUCUGAGAGGAUGAUCAGCCACAUUGGGACUGAGAUACGGCCCAG